rnacentral:lncRNA from 1 species
CACAUCCGGGGCCAGGGAGACCUGUGAGGACUGCCUUUCCUGAGGAAGGGAGGAGGACGGGACGAAUGUGCACGUGAAGGAUAAAGGGUGACGCGCAUACGUUGGUGGUAGGAAUGUAAAUAGUGCAGCUACUGUGGAAAACACUGGUGAGCCCACAUUAUACACACACACACACACACACACACACACAGGAGUUUUCAAAUAUUUGUCCACAAAUGUUCAUAUGGGCACUGUUCAAACUACUCAAAAGAUGAAGACAACCGAAGUGUUCAUCAAAAGAUGAACUGAUAAACCAGCUAUGGUAUACACAUACAAUGGAAUAUUAAUCAACAAUUACAAGAAAUGAAGUACUGAUUUCUGCUAUAGUGUGGGUGAAUGUGAAAGCAUUAUGCUGAGAUGGAAGUCAGAUGCAAAGGUCACAUGUUGUAGGAUUCCAUUUCUGUGAAACACCUAGAACAAAUUCAUAGAGACAACACGUUGGUUGUUGUGGAAGGUGGAGUGGGGGUGCGGAGAAGACGAGGAGUCACCUUUCAGUGCGUAUGAGACUUUCUUUGGGGAGUUGAAAAUAUUUUGGAAUUAAAGAUGAUGAUUGCACAAUAUUGUGAAUGUACUAAAUGCCACAUAAUCAUGUACUUUAAAAUGGUUUUCUUUUAUAUUGUGUUAAUUCCAUUUCAAAUGUAUUUAUCUCUUAAAUGAAC